AGUGAACGCUGGCGGUAGGCCUAACACAUGCCAGUCGAACGGCAGCACAGUAAGAGCUUGCUCUUACGGGUGGCGAGUGGCGGACGGGUGAGGAAUACAUCGGAGUCUACUUUUUCGUGGGGGAUAACGUAGGGAAACUUACGCUAAUACCGCAUACGACCUACGGGUGAAAGCAGGGGAUCUUCGGACCUUGCGCGAUUGAAUGAGCCGAUGUCGGAUUAGCUAGUUGGCGGGGUAAAGGCCCACCAAGGCGACGAUCCGUAGCUGGUCUGAGAGGAUGAUCAGCCACACUGGAACUGAGACACGGUCCAGACUCCUACGGGAGGCAGCAGUGGGGAAUAUUGGACAAUGGGCGCAAGCCUGAUCCAGCCAUACCGCGUGGGUGAAGAAGGCCUUCGGGUUGUAAAGCCCUUUUGUUGGGAAAGAAAAGCAGCAGGUUAAUACCCCGCUGUUCUGACGGUACCCAAAGAAUAAGCACCGGCUAACUUCGUG
rnacentral:rRNA from 1 species